GACCAAGAGGGUGUAGGGCUAUGAACCCUUACUUUCUAAGAUGCAACUCUAAGAUUAAUUCUCGUCUUACUCAACUAUCAACAAACUGUCUUGAGCCUGAAAAAUGGAUAGGAAGAGGGGUGAGAUUAUGAUUACAUAAUCCCAGUGAGUAAACAAACACCAUCUAAAUAAUCUAAAGGUGAGUAAAGGGAGACAAUUAAAAAUAAUUCAUUUCAGCAAAUUUUUCACAACACGAGUAUUCAUUUCAACGAAAUAAUCAAUAUGCCUUGUAAAUUUCUCAAAACUUGGCUCAUGCCAAAUCCUGUACUCGGGGACACCUGGACCAGGGGUAUCCAACCGAGUCCGUCAAGGCUGUGAAAAAUUUUAUAUAAUCAUAAAACUUGUUUUUAUUUUGACAACAUAGCCGUUCCUUGGCGUUGGUUGAGUCUCACUCUCACGCGGUGGUCCACGUGAAGUGCACUAAAAAAGCCCACCUCAGGAGAUACCCUACGCGCCUCUACGACCGAGGUAAGAAUAUAAAGGAGUUUACCGUGCCCCUCUAAUAGGCUGGUUCUUGGAAUCCCACCAGUGCAGUAGCUAAUCUUUUAUCUACCACCUGAUUUAUAAAAUCUUUUUACUGCAUGACAUGGCAAUUUAUCGCAACCUAGCCUCUCAAGGCUGAAUACACAGUACAAAUAAUUCUAACACCAAAAUCAGUUUAGCCAUUCAUGCUCAUUUAUUGUCAUAAGCCAUUCAAUUUAAAAUCAUAAAUUUACAACACAAGCAGGCAGUCUCCAAUUACUCUAUUUUCAAAACCAGUAUUCGAUUUUCUAGAAAAUUUAUAAAAUGAUUUUAUAAAAUCACAAUUUCUCUUAAAACAUAGCAAUUUACCAUUUAAACCAAUUUUUCAUAAAAUCACACAAUUGUAUAAAACUACUCUAGAUAAUUAAGACGAUAAUAAGUUUACUUACAGUUUCCGAAAACUAAAUUCGGGUACUUCAACUAUUACUCCUCGGGUGCGAUUUCUUUGCCCUUGCCAGAGGAUUCGCCACCUUGACAAAUUGCACAAUUAAGAGGUUUACUACUUUGGUACUAAGCCAAAAUAAACUAAUUUAUACUACUAAUGCAUGAUAUGAAGUGCAAAAUGUCUAAAUUUUACCUAAAUGCGAUGUUAGCCUAUUUCAAUCUUUUACCCGAUAAAUCGAUAUACGCGUCCGUUUAAACUCCAAAUUAAUUUUUUUCAGUUUCUAUACCUCAAUUGCACCCAAAUUGACUUAAUGUUCCUUAGUGUGGUGCAAAUUAUCAGUCUCGGUAGCAAAUUACGAAAUACCCCUACUGGGUAAAAAUUCAUAUUUUUGCUCCAAAAAUUCCCAUUAUUUUUCUAGGCUCAUAAUUCAUCAUUAUUUAUCAUAAUUUCUCAAAUAAACAUCAAGAUAAGCAACCAAUAUUCCCCUAAAAAAUUCGGCCAAUAAUGGUAAUGGAGGAAAAUGAAUUCUUUUCUUGUUGUUUUGUUUCUAAAUAUGCUAAACUAACUAAAAACACUAACAUAACUUAAAAUCAAAUUAAUCUAACUUCAUUCUCUCUCCAAACCCAUUUGGGCAGCCAUGAAUUCACCAUGAAAACAUGAAAUCUAACCAUGGAAAAUAAGGAGAAAUGCAUGGGAAAUGUAGAUCACAAGUCAAAAUCAAGAAAUUUUACCUUUGAUUGCUUGAUUCCUUGAAAUCCACCAAUUUUCCUUUAAUUUCCCACCUAGGUUUCUUGUUUUU
rnacentral:lncRNA from 1 species